GGGUUGUGAGGUUAAGCGACUAAGCGUACACGGUGGAUGCCCUGGCAGUCAGAGGCGAUGAAGGACGUGCUAAUCUGCGAAAAGCGUCGGUAAGGUGAUAUGAACCGUUAUAACCGGCGAUGUCCGAAUGGGGAAACCCAGUGCAAUUCGUUGCACUAUCGUUAACUGAAUACAUAGGUUAACGAGGCGAACCGGGGGAACUGAAACAUCUAAGUACCCCGAGGAAAAGAAAUCAACCGAGAUUCCCCCAGUAGCGGCGAGCGAACGGGGAGCAGCCCAGAGUCUGAAUCAGCUUGUGUGUUAGUGGAACGGUCUGGAAAGUCCGACGGUACAGGGUGAUAGUCCCGUACACCAAAAUGCACAGGCUGUGAACUCGAAGAGUAGGGCGGGACACGUGGUAUCCUGUCUGAAUAUGGGGGGACCAUCCUCCAAGGCUAAAUACUCCUGACUGACCGAUAGUGAACCAGUACCGUGAGGGAAAGGCGAAAAGAACCCCGGCGAGGGGAGUGAAAAAGAACCUGAAACCGUGUACGUACAAGCAGUGGGAGCACCUUCGGGUGUGACUGCGUACCUUUUGUAUAAUGGGUCAGCGACUUAUAUUCUGUAGCAAGGUUAACCGUAUAGGGGAGCCGCAGGGAAACCGAGUCUUAACUGGGCGUUAAGUUGCAGGGUAUAGACCCGAAACCCGGUGAUCUAGCCAUGGGCAGGUUGAAGGUUGGGUAACACUAACUGGAGGACCGAACCGACUAAUGUUGAAAAAUUAGCGGAUGACUUGUGGCUGGGGGUGAAAGGCCAAUCAAACCGGGAGAUAGCUGGUUCUCCCCGAAAGCUAUUUAGGUAGCGCCUCGUGAAUUCAUCUUCGGGGGUAGAGCACUGUUUCGGCUAGGGGGUCAUCCCGACUUACCAACCCGAUGCAAACUACGAAUACCGAAGAAUGUUAUCACGGGAGACACACGGCGGGUGCUAACGUCCGUCGUGAAGAGGGAAACAACCCAGACCGCCAGCUAAGGUCCCAAAGUCAUGGUUAAGUGGGAAACGAUGUGGGAAGGCACAGACAGCCAGGAUGUUGGCUUAGAAGCAGCCAUCAUUUAAAGAAAGCGUAAUAGCUCACUGGUCGAGUCGGCCUGCGCGGAAGAUGUAACGGGGCUAAACCAUGCACCGAAGCUGCGGCAGCGACACUAUGUGUUGUUGGGUAGGGGAGCGUUCUGUAAGCCUGCGAAGGUGACCUGUGAGGGUUGCUGGAGGUAUCAGAAGUGCGAAUGCUGACAUAAGUAACGAUAAAGCGGGUGAAAAGCCCGCUCGCCGGAAGACCAAGGGUUCCUGUCCAACGUUAAUCGGGGCAGGGUGAGUCGACCCCUAAGGCGAGGCCGAAAGGCGUAGUCGAUGGGAAACAGGUUAAUAUUCCUGUACUUGGUGUUACUGCGAAGGGGGGACGGAGAAGGCUAUGUUAGCCGGGCGACGGUUGUCCCGGUUUAAGCAUGUAGGCUGGUUAUCCAGGCAAAUCCGGAUAAUCAAGGCUGAGGUGUGAUGACGAGGCACUACGGUGCUGAAGUAACAAAUGCCCUGCUUCCAGGAAAAGCCUCUAAGCAUCAGGUAACAUUAAAUCGUACCCCAAACCGACACAGGUGGUCAGGUAGAGAAUACCAAGGCGCUUGAGAGAACUCGGGUGAAGGAACUAGGCAAAAUGGUGCCGUAACUUCGGGAGAAGGCACGCUGGUGUGUAGGUGAAGUCCCUGCGGAUGGAGCUGAGACCAGUCGAAGAUACCAGCUGGCUGCAACUGUUUAUUAAAAACACAGCACUGUGCAAACACGAAAGUGGACGUAUACGGUGUGACGCCUGCCCGGUGCCGGAAGGUUAAUUGAUGGGGUUAUCCGUAAGGAGAAGCUCUUGAUCGAAGCCCCGGUAAACGGCGGCCGUAACUAUAACGGUCCUAAGGUAGCGAAAUUCCUUGUCGGGUAAGUUCCGACCUGCACGAAUGGCGUAAUGAUGGCCAGGCUGUCUCCACCCGAGACUCAGUGAAAUUGAACUCGCUGUGAAGAUGCAGUGUACCCGCGGCAAGACGGAAAGACCCCGUGAACCUUUACUAUAGCUUGACACUGAACAUUGAGCCUUGAUGUGUAGGAUAGGUGGGAGGCUUUGAAGCGUGGACGCCAGUCUGCGUGGAGCCGACCUUGAAAUACCACCCUUUAAUGUUUGAUGUUCUAACGUUGGCCCCUUACCGGGGUUGCGGACAGUGUCUGGUGGGUAGUUUGACUGGGGCGGUCUCCUCCCAAAGCGUAACGGAGGAGCACGAAGGUUAGCUAAUCCUGGUCGGACAUCAGGAGGUUAGUGCAAUGGCAUAAGCUAGCUUGACUGCGAGCGUGACGGCGCGAGCAGGUGCGAAAGCAGGUCAUAGUGAUCCGGUGGUUCUGAAUGGAAGGGCCAUCGCUCAACGGAUAAAAGGUACUCCGGGGAUAACAGGCUGAUACCGCCCAAGAGUUCAUAUCGACGGCGGUGUUUGGCACCUCGAUGUCGGCUCAUCACAUCCUGGGGCUGAAGUAGGUCCCAAGGGUAUGGCUGUUCGCCAUUUAAAGUGGUACGCGAGCUGGGUUUAGAACGUCGUGAGACAGUUCGGUCCCUAUCUGCCGUGGGCGCUGGAGAAUUGAGGGGGGCUGCUCCUAGUACGAGAGGACCGGAGUGGACGCAUCACUGGUGUUCGGGUUGUCAUGCCAAUGGCACUGCCCGGUAGCUAAAUGCGGAAGAGAUAAGUGCUGAAAGCAUCUAAGCACGAAACUUGCCCCGAGAUGAGUUCUCCCUGAGACUUUAAGUCUCCUGAAGGAACGUUGAAGACGACGACGUUGAUAGGCCGGGUGUGUAAGCGCAGCGAUGCGUUGAGCUAACCGGUACUAAUGAACCGUGAGGCUUAACCUUACAACGCCGAAG
rnacentral:rRNA from 1 species